CUCACGAUAAGUUUUAACAUAUAUGUAUGAAAAUCAGUUUAAAUUAUUAGGAUGGUUUUGCAGGGUCGUAAAAAGAAGAGACAUUGGUCUUUAGAUCCUAAUAACAAAUCAUGGAUUAAUGGUAAGAGGCAAGUAGGUUCUACUAUAAUGAAAAAGAUGGGUUGGGCUAAGGGCGAAGGCCUUGGGAAAAAUAAAACUGGAACUUCGAAAAAUUUAAAAGUAAAAAGUAAAGAUAAUUAUCUUGGAAUCGGCGCAGAUAUCGAUUCUGAUGAAAAAUGGGUUGACUUACAACAUUCUUUUAACGACUUGCUUCGCACGUUGAAUGAAAAUCAUUCAAAAGGCGUAGAUAAUAGUCAUUUUCAGAAACCAAUUCUGCAAGAAGAAAAACACUCUUCUACUCGACGUCGUCUCUAUUCCCGUUUUGUUGUAAAUAAGGAUUUGAAAAAUUAUAGUGAACGGGACCUCUCUCAAAUAUUUGGAGAAAGAAGUGAAGGUGAAAAACAAUUUUGCGAUCGUCUACCCGAAGCUACCCCACAGUUGCGUGCUGGUGAAGUGUUAACCUAUAAUAGUUGCUUCUCUAUUGAAGAUUACUUUUCUCAGCAAAUGUUGAAAAGACGCUCUCGCCAUUUAGAGCCGAAUUUGUCUGUAAUUGAAAAAGGCGCCGAAAAAAAGUUGGAUCCAAAAGAAAUAAAAGUCAAAAAUAAGAAAAAGAAAAAAAAGCUAAGUAAGUCAUCUAAGAAAAGAGA